UCGGCCACAGCCCACGGGAAGAAGGUAUGGUAGCUUCGGCGGCGCUGCGGCGGCUCCGCUCCUCGCCGCGGCUCUGGCUCGCCACCUGCGCCUCUUACGGCGGCGCGAGCGCGUCCGCGGCUGCCGUGGGGCUCGAGCGCGUGGAGGACUCGAGCCGCUGCAUCGCGGAGCUGGCCGCGGAGGGGCGCGUGUGGGACGCGCGCAGGCUGUUCGAGGGAACGCCCGACCGGGACGUGGUGGCCUGGACGGCGAUGGUGUCGGCGUACGCUCGGCGGGGGAUGCUGCGGGACGCGCGGGCGCUGUUCGACCACCCGGACGCGCGCCGGAACGUGGUCACCUGGACGGCGCUCCUCUCCGGGUACGCGCGCGCCCGCCGCGUCGAGGAGGCCGAGGCGCUGUUCGAGCGGAUGCCGGAGCGGAACGUCGUCUCCUGGAACACGAUGCUGGAGGCGUACGUCGCGGCGGGACGUGUGGACGAUGCCUGCACGCUGUUCGAUCGCAUGCCGGUGAGGGAUGCCGGCUCAUGGAACAUUCUGCUGGCCGCGUUGGUGCGGGCAGGGAGAGUGGAUGAAGCGCGCAAGCUGUUUCAGAGAAUGCCAGGUAGGGAUGUGAUGGCUUAUACAACUAUGGUUACCGGCAUUGCACGGUACGGUAAUGUUGAUGAGGCUCGAGUGUUGUUUGAUGCCAUGCCCAACAGGAAUGUAGUUUCUUGGAAUGCCAUGAUCUCUGGGUACAUAGGUAACCACAGGAUUGAUGAAGCGCUGGAUUUGUUCAUGAAGAUGAACAGGAGGGAUACUGCUUCUUGGAACAUUAUGAUUAACGGUUUCAUCCAGAACAAAGAUCUGAAGAGGGCACGUGAGCUCUUUGAUAAGACGCCUGAAAGGAAUGUUGUCACUUGGACCACCAUGAUGAAAGGUUAUUUGCAAGGCAUGCAGAGUGAACUGGCACUGCGGUUAUUUAAUGGCAUGCUUACCGAAGGUGUCACACCAAAUAAAGUGACAUUUUUAGGUGCUCUUGAUGCAUGCAGCAAUCUUGCGGCGCUUUGUGAAGGGCAGCAGGUGCAUCAAAUGAUAUGCAAAACAGCAUUUCAGUUUGAUACUUUUGUCGAGUCUGCCCUGAUGAAUGUAUAUUCCAAGUGUGGUGAAAUUGGAUUGGCAAGAAAGUUGUUUGAUGUUUCUAGGGAGAAGGACUUGAUCUCUUGGAAUGGAAUUAUUGCGGCAUAUGCGCAUCAUGGUGUUGCCUUAGAAGCUAUACGCUUGUAUGAUAAGAUGCAAGAAAAUGGAUAUAAGCCUAAUGAUGUUACCUAUGUGGUGUUGCUCUCAGCAUGUAGCCACUCUGGUUUGGUUGAUGAUGGGCUUAAGAUCUUUGAAUCCAUGGUUAAAGAUAGGUCAGUUGCAGUGCGUGAUGAACAUUAUACUAGUUUGAUUGAUCUUUGUAGUCGAGCAGGACGGCUUGAUGAUGCUAAAAGGUUAAUUCACUGUCUUAAGAUUAAGCCUGCAUCAGGUUCUGUCUGGAGUGCCCUUCUAGGUGGGUGUAAUGCACAUGGAAAUGUGAGCAUUGGCAAUUUGGCCGCUAGAAGUCUUUUAGAAGCAGAACCUGAUAAUGCUGGCACCUAUACUCUCCUGUCUAACAUCUAUGCUUCUGCUGGUAAGUGGAAAGAAGCAGCACAAAUUAGGUCAGAGAUGAACAACCGAGGACUUAAGAAACAACCAGGAUGCAGUUGGAUUGAGGUGGCAAAUAAGGUUCAUAUAUUUGUAUCACGUGAUAAGUCCCAUAGUGAAUCUGAGUUGAUCAAUGGUUUGGUGCAAGAUAUCCAUCACAUGAUGAGGAUUGUUGGAACUGUUCCCACUGACAAUAUGCUUUUUGAUGAGGAGGUAGUGGCUAUUUAGUUACAAUCUGAAGUAUUUUCAUUUGAACCGCAAGGAUUCAGUCAAACAAAGUAACCUCCAUCAUUCAAUCCAACCUUCUAGAGUAUGUUUGCUGUCCAUGCCAUGGUGUUACACAUAUGGCUAAAGUGGCUGUCCUGUCACUAAGUAGUAGUGCCAAUUUGCAGGAAUCUUGACUCCUCGGUUCUGGAUCACAUUUGCUUUGUUAACUUUGCCAAUCUUAUGGUUCUUCCUAACUUAAGUUUCACUGCUAACAAAUUAAAUUUUUACUUUUGCCUGUUCUAUUAUUUUGAUUUUUUAGUUUGUAGUUUUUGCACUUCUCGCACUAGUUUGGCGAAUGAACUUUUACUAUUUUGAUUUAGAUUAACAGUACAAUUAUCUUACAAGAAUAGAAGUAUUUAGCGGUGGCAGUCAAGUUAAUUCUUGAUUUAUUGUUUAACACUGGUGCUCUCCUGCAGGUUGUCUGAUUGUCCUCCAAGAAACUUUUCUUCAGCCUUAUCCAUGGAUUUCGAUCUCAGACUCAUCUUUGCUGUAAAGUCCUUGGAAACAGGUUGCUUAGGAGUAUUAAGCUGCUAAGGUGCUUUUCUUAGUAGUUAGAGCACCAUCAUACCAUGUCUACCAAGCCUUCAUUCUCAGGUUUCAGUUGUCAAAACAAGUUUGGAGACACCCGAAGGUCCGAAAGCUUUCCUGCAGAUCUCUGUGGUAGCAGUGAGCUCAGUACUGGCAAUAACUAAAAGCUUUCCUGCAGAUCUCUGUGGUAGCAGUGAACUCAGUACUGGCAAUAACUUCCGAAAAUGGCAACCUUUAUCAGGUGAGAACUUGCAAGUCUCAAACAUGGACCAGAGAGUUCCGGAGCACUAGCCUUGGUGUUCAGGAGGAAAAGGUGAUUUGAUGUGCCAGAAUAAUAGAAAUGGGUAUGGGUAUGUUUGCUCUGUUGCUGGUUCUUCAACGCAUGUGCUGGGGACAGAAUGCUACUACAACACACUAUGCAUGAACAAAUACUUUGUGCAAGGUGCGUGUUUCAUUGGUGAUAGUGUAUAUCAACUUAUCAAGUGCCUGUCUUAGAUGGUGUGUACCUGCUUGUAAUUGUAAAUUCUGCAUGGGGUUGAAGAACUGGAGGGUGUUGUUGUCCCACCCGGCACCUGGAAUCCCUCGAAGCAAGCAUCGCCCAUCAAAGAGCCUGGGUGCACGCCCAGAACUUCUGCCGAUGCCAGAUGGACUGAGCUGAUCAGGAACCUGGCGAUUCUUAAGGUUCGGGAAUGUCCCGUUGGGGGCAGAGCUUUCCUUGGACCCGGAACUUCAGGUCCGGAGGCCGGAGAUGAUACAGUGGAAGGAGGCUGGUGCUUGCUGGCCACCUGCUGCAAGAGGAUGGAUCUGCUUGCGCUCAAGGAGGCGGGCAAAACUGGAUGUGCUCCAAUUUAGAGAUGACGAAGCUUUUUUGCUGCUGCACGCAGGCCAAAAAUGGAGGUCCUUUCGGUUCUGAACUGUGUGAGUUGGUCUGUGCUGCGGGUUGUAUGAUUAUUUCUGGGGUUUUAAGUAGCAAAAUCUAACCUGGAAGGCUCUGAACUGAGUUGUAAUAGGCCCAAACAUGGCCUUCAAGCCCAUUAGUGGACCACUUGUUCGGCCCACCAGCCCACCAUCACCAACCGUCCAAACCCCUUCGAAUAGUCAGUUCCACACCGACGAG